rnacentral:misc_RNA from 1 species
GUGAAUCAUCAAAUUUUUGAACGCAAAUUGCACUCUCCUGGGAGAUUAUGCCUGUUUGAGGGUCAGCGUAAAAAAAAUCGACAAAGUUGCUGUUUCGCUGUGACUUUCGGUGGAAAUUGGGUCAUAUUAAACUUUUGGGUUUUAUGCGGCUUAAAAUUUUCUUUACGUUUACACGAACGUGUCUAUGAUCUUACUUCUUACACCUGUUUAAGGUAUCUAUCUUU